GAUCAACGCUGGCGGCGUGCCUAACACAUGCACGUCGAGCGAGAAAGUGGAGCAAUCCAUGAGUACAGCGGCGACCGGGUGAGUAACACGUGACUAACCUACCCUCUAGUGGGGAACAACCUCGGGAAACCGGGGCUAAUACCGCAUAACAUCGUCGGGUGAAACCCCUGAUGAUCAAAGGAGCAAUUCGCUGGAGGAGGGGGUCGGGGUCGAUUAGCUAGUUGGCGGGGUAACGGACCACCAAGGCGAUGAUCGAUAGCCGGCCUGAGAGGGCGGACGGCCACACUGGAACUGAAAUACGGUCCAGAAGCCUACGUGAGGCAGCAGUGGGGAAUUUUGCGCAAUGGGGGAAACCCUGACGCAGCAACGCCGCGUGGAGGAUGAAGUCCCUUGGGACGUAAACUCCUUUCGACCGGGACGAUAAUGACGGUACCGGUGGAAGAAGCCCCGGCUAACUCCGUGCCAGCCGCCGCGGUAAAAC
rnacentral:rRNA from 1 species